rnacentral:lncRNA from 1 species
UCGACCGCUGCCGGCCUCUAUCUCGGCAGGCACUUUGAUUCUCGAACUCGGUACCUUGUCUUCGUCACUUUAAUCUGCCCCGCUACGAGGCUAACCCUCGAUGCAAUUCUCUGUUCUCGAUCAAAUAGUAAAAUCGAAUAGGCCCGAUUUUAAUUGUAUACAGAUAAUCCCCUCGUUUCUUAGAAUGUAAUGAGAAGAAAUGAAUUGAGCCUUCGAUCUUGUACUUUGAUAUGUCAUGACGUCAUCACCAUGAGGUAAGCAUAAGUGAUUGAAACAUCCUGUCAGUACAGUUCCCUAAGCCAUUAAUGGGCGUCUUAUGAAUUAGUCAUUUAACAAAUAAGUAGUUGAAACAGAUAAUUACAAAUAAAGUAUGUUGGACAUUGUAUGACUCAGAUAAUAAGACAAAGAAUUUGAACAAGUUGUGUACAUAUAAAAAUAAAGUAUUAAGAAAAGGAAUUUGGGAAAGGAGGGGUCCUAGGUUGGUUAGCCUAUAGGAUCACCCCACGCAAUAUCCGAUAAAUACUCCUCAAUGAGGGGCUACACGUGACAUUAGCGCAUAGUCAUCAUGUCCAUAUCUACCCUUCCUACUCAUUAACGGUUUAUUAAAGCGAGUGUUGUUUAACGAUCUCUAUUGCAUGCUGUUACCCGUCCCUUCUUAAUGGUCCUGGAGAAAAUCAGGACCUCUACCUAUAGGCAGUAAUAGACAUGCCCUUAAGGUUUAAAAGGAGAAAAUACUAUGCGACAGGUAAGAACAAAUAGGACUUUAGCAAAUAAGGAGGAAAAAAAGCAAUUAGAGACUCAGAUUUACCUCCACAAAUAAUGCACAUAAGCAGGACGACUCACACAUAAAUAAGUAUUAUUCAAUAGGAUCCUAACGUUUGACAUAUCUAAGUGAAUAUCAAAACAUAGAAGAUAGACAGUUUAUUUUAUAAACUCAGAAGCAGUGGCCCUAUUAGUUUGCCUACUGAUUUCAAGCUUGUUAACUAUUAAACAGUGAACACAUAAAGAGGCAGUUUUCAAUUUUAUAAAAAUUUGAUUACCUAGGGCUUACCUAAGCGUGGGAUCAUGUACAAGAUUUACCGGAGUUAUUAAAAAACAGCUUAGAAGUUAUUAUACCUAAAGCAUGUUAUUCUAAGUGUUGCAAAGAUACAUCGAUUAUGAUCGGUUUCACUUAAACAAGAUAAAUGUGACAUUGUUUUUAUAUCUUUCAUAACCAGUAGUUUAAACUAGGUGUCACUGAGCGAGUAUGAAUGAGAUCCUAAAUAGGAUAUCUAACAUGCACAUAUAUAAUGCAGAAUGAUUUCAGGAUACACCGAAUUUCUAAAGCAUGAUUUCUAAAUGCCCAGAAAGUGGAGCAUGAUUUUAGGAUGUGUAGGAGCAACAAUUUUAUGUUAAUGUUGUUAUUUAGCCUAAAACAUGAUUUCUAAUUGAUAAAAAUAAUGUUAAAUGAGAUGCUGAAACAGUAAACCUAAGAACAUGAUAUCUAAUGCAUGACAUGCUUGGAAUGUGUUGGUCCUAAACAUGGAUUCUAAUGCACAUAUGGGAAACGUAAACCUAAGGUAUAGUUUAUACCCAUUGAUAUUGAUAACAUAUAUGACUAUCCUCCCUUUUUCACCAGCCAAUCCUAAUGUUCAUUUACUAUAAUUAUUACAAACCAAUAUUGAAAUUAAUUAUAUAGAUAAAGAAAAAUAAGAAGUUACACUAUAGGGAGCCUAAAAACAGGCCCAGAUUUUCAGAACCUCAAAUGCGCAGAUUGUUUCAUAGUUUUUCUAAUAUCCUGGUGUGUCAGAAUUCCCUAAGGAUCUCAAGGGAUCCCCGACAGUGCUCACACCCAUAUUUCACAACCAUAACUGAGUAAGUGCAGUAUGAAAGAGACAACUCCAAUGCAUUAGAGAUUCGAGGGAUCUCAUAGGGAUCCCUAAGGAGUCACACAUUAGAGGGGCCAGAACUUAAGGACCUAAAAAUAGUGUGAGAGUGCUUGACAAAGUUUUGAAAAGAACACACUUUCAGGGAGGCCAACAUGUCGGUGCACAUGCUAGCGAAAAAAGAGUGACGACAAUAACAAGGAUCUAAAUGUUAUCUAUUACCAUCUAGAUUUUGUUACCAAUGUCUUAAAAUCCGACUAUGAAGACAAGACUUAUGUAGUUAGGCUCGCUAACAAGGAUGUUUGCUCUAGACUAGCAGUAUCUGGUAACAAAAAUGUCCUUAAAGACAUGUUGUUGGUUUAUAAUAGCCAAGUAAGUAAUGUCCCUUUGGGAACAAUGAACAAUGUUAUCUCUGUUGUUAUGUGAUAUAUAUAUAAUAUGAUCCCUGUUAGUAAAAAAAAGACAUAGUUUUGAAAAGGUUUGAAUGAAAACAGUGUUGAAAGAGACUCGGUUGAAAUAGUUUUAUAUAAUAAAGAGAGUUUCUCAGUAAAAUAAUUUUUUGACAAGAAUUGUGGAAUCAAAUAAAUAACAGACCCAUCACAGAACCAAAACAGGUUCUACAACAUUCAAAGAACAACCUUCACACUGGUGUAAUGGGAAUUGGGAACAUAUAAAGCAUAUCUAGUGAACACAUAAUAGAUAGAAGUGCACAUAGCUACAAAAUUAGAAGUAUUAUAUGGGGAAUUCAUGGGAUUAGAGUACAACAUGAACUUCAGAAUUAACACAAAACCAAGUAACUUAAGGUAAUAAUUAUUUUGCCAAAGAAAGGUUCACACGAAAACCAAUUAAACAUAUAAUGGAACAAAGUCACAUUGAGACAUACUACUAGGGUGGGGCAGGGAGAGGGGAGGGGUAACAUUUCAUAAGCAUGUUGAUCCUAAUGGUGGUACUACAUAACAUAACUAGAUAGACAAGAAAGCAUCUCAACUACAUGUUGCACAACAAAACCAUGGAUAGAAACAUACUAGAAACAGGGUGAACUGAAGUAGUAAAAGAAACAUACUAUUUUUUAAACUUGAAUUGAAAUUAGAACAUACCAGUAAAAAAGAUAGUAAACAAAAAUUGGAGGAUAAGAGAGAAUAAUAAUUAGCCUUGGCUCACAACCAGCUAAUUCAAGAUAGUAGAAAGUAGCAAAGAAAGAAAGCAGAAAGCUUUGAGUGUGAGAGAUAGUUUUUUGAACCAAUGUGUUCGUGUUUUUGUUAAUGAGAGAGCAUAUGUAUAUAUAGUUUGAAACUAGGUAGAAUAAUAAGGUAAGAAUCAAAGUCAAGAAGUAAUUAUGGAGACUCGUAAUCAAUCAGUAUAAAAUCAAUGUAAGUACUCCUCAAUUAAGGGAGUUAACUUCAAAUAGUGAUGACAAAUAAGGAAAGAGAUCACAUAAGACUAGAACAUAGCACAUUAGGAAAUAUUUUCAUGCAUAGUAAGUAUAGGACAAGUAAUUAGGAUAGGUUCAAAAGAUCUAAUUAAGGAAAGUACUUAAUAAUCGAUUGGCAGCAUAGUCGACCAAAAAAUGAGGCAAGCAAAUAUCUUAGAGGUUGAAAAUCAGUAAGGAAAUCAUCACAAGAGAUUAGUGAAAUGUAUCAAUUAUAUGAAAUUAGAGAUUCAAACAGGAAUAGUACUGAUUAAGGGGAGAUUACCACAAGUCUCUAUGCAUACACGGAAUAAACACAUAAUAGGCAAGAAGAAGAGGCAACAAAUCAGAAAUCCUAAUGAGCACAGUAUCAAAACUGCCUAUAGGUACUCCAUCCCACAAUUCACCAAGGUUCCCUGGAAAAAGUUAAUGAUGGUGCCAGGCAUUCUGCCAAAAUAAAAAUUUAUUUUAUGGAUGACAUUGCAUCGACGCUUGGCAACAAUAGACAUGCUAGAAAAAUGGGGUAUACAGACAGACCAGACCUGCUCUUUAUGUGACAGUGGCAACACAGAGACACAUGAUCAUCUUUUUUUUGAAUGUCCUUACUCACAAGCACUGUGGCAAGGACUACUCAGGUGGCUUAACUUCACUAGAAUGUUAUACAACUGGGAGUAUGAAAUACAAUGGCUAUCUGCUAGAGUAAAUAGUAGGAACCAAAGGAAAUCCAUCCUAGGAGUGGUAUUUUCCGCAAUUGUAUAUGAUAUCUGGAUGGAAGGGAAUGAAAGAAGAUUCAGAAAAACGAGCAUGGAGGCUAAGAUUAGAGCAAGACUGAUUGCACAGCAAGUGCACAUCACUGGAAGGAAGAUGAACAAAUGGCAGCCUACUCUACAAUACUUAGAUUGUUACCCAAUUUGUAAUUCUUGAAUAUAGUCGCAGUUUGUAGAAUAGAAGUUAGUUUAUCAGCCUUCGGGUUGUAUAGUGGAUAUUUAAUAUGUUUUUGAGAGGUGUUCUAUAGUCCCAAAGAAAACGCGAUGUACAGUUACAUUGGUUGAAAUACAAUUUUUCAUUUUAACCAAAAAAAAUAAUCACACAGAAUCAGGGAUUCAACCACAAAAAAAGUACUCCUCUGUUCCAGUUUAUGUGAACUUAUUUCCUUUUUGGUGCAUUCCAAAAAGAAUAAACUUUUUCUAAAUUUUGGUAACAAUUUUGCUUAAGCUUACAACUCUACCCUUAAUGAGAAGCUUUUAUAAUCACACAAAUAUUAUGGGCCUUAUUUGGACUUAUUUAGGACUACAAAUUCUAAAAGUAUUCCUCUUUUCAUACGUUCCGUGCCCCGUCAAAUAGGUUCACAUAAACUGAAACGGAGGGAGUAAUAAUUAAGGGAAUUGGCAGAAUAAACAUAAUAUAAGUGGAAGAAGCAAAAAUAAGAAACCCUAAUGAACAUAAUAGGGUAAAAUUACAUUAACGCAGAACGUUCAUGAGAAACAAGCACACAUACGAAUCAAAUCAUCAGAGACAGACUCAGAACCCAAGAUUUGGAUCAAGGAACUUAGGGUUUUAACAUAAUAAUUCAGAUAAAAGAUGAAAAAUAUGAUGUUUAAACGUAGUAAAAAUCAUAGAAUAAUAUGGAAAAUCAGAAGGAAAAGUCAUUUUUAAAAGGGGUUAAGAAACCCUAGUUUGAAGAUGAAAAGGCAUUUUUGAAAAAUCGGAGAGAUUCUUAAGAAAACAGUAACGAUAACUCAAAAUAUACUCAGAUAUGUGGUAGAUCUGAAAAUUCAAGAGAUGAGUUAGUGUUUCAGAGAGAGAGAUAACCCAGAGAUAAAGAGAUUCCGACUUAGAAGCCAUGGAUCUAUCCGGAAAAUAUAAAGAUCUUACUCGGACGGCCAAGGGUAGACUGAGAACGGCAUGUAAAGUCCAUGGGUCUGAGUUGAAUAGCCUCUGAUCCCCUUGAGGACCUCAAGGUAGCAAGGAUUUGGCAUGUGAGGGAGCCAUCGAGGCUAGGGAUAGUUUUUGAGCCACCAUUGUCACUAGCGAGCCAACGAUCGAUGAGAGGAGCUUUGGGUUUAGCAGAGAGAGCUUGAGAGAGAUGAAAGGAUAUAACAACUAUCACACCUCUUUUUUUCCACGCAACCCUAUUACGAGGUUGGGUUAGAAGAGUUUUUCCAAUUAAAGUGAUGUAUUAAAAAGAUAUUAUUUAUUAUUUAGAGUCGCCACUUGUAAUUGAGUUUUGGUGUUCCAAGUCACCUUUUAUUUGAAUCCCCUUUCAAAAGGAAGGUUUGGCUCUUAAUUAUGGUCUACGAAACAGAAGAAUGAGUAAGGAGUUCUGUUGACCGAGGGGAAGGUGUAAGGUACCCCACGAGUCCCGUAGUUCUAGCAUGGUCGCUUUUAUUGACUAAUGUAAGGCUUAAAUCAAUUCUUGACUAUUCUUGUAUUUUAUUAGUUAUGGAUUGCCUAUUACCACUUCACUUAAUUAUUGUAUUUUUAUUAAUUGUUUGGACCCAGAUGCGGUACGCACACAAGGUAUUUCUUUGAAGUUAGCUAUUAAAUCAAGGUACAAAAUGUACACAUAGUUAUAACAUAAUUAUUGUAAAUCUAAAGGCAUCAAGACGCGGAAUGCGCACAUGAUUCUUUUAUUAUUUAAGCGUAUCAAUCCAAGGUUCGGGUAUGAACACAUGAGCUAAUAUUUAAAGUACAUCUAAAGUUUUCUAGUGUUUUAGAGUAUUUUAUUUGUUUUGCCUCUUUUAGAUUCAAGACAAUUAUUUCUAUAACUUUAUUAUUAUUAUUAUUUAUUGCAACGAGUCUUAAAGUAGUUCAUGACUCAUCGCACCCUCACAAUUAUUUGUUAUCUCUCUAAUUAUUUAUUUCUCACAAAUAUUUUGGAAUCAAUAAGCAGCAUACAUCCAGCUUGUUUUGAAAUGCACAUUUAGAAGUCAAAAUGAAUAAAAAUAAUAAUAAAAAAUCAACAGAAGGCCUAUCACAAAAACUAAUAAAAUUUCAUAAGAUACGUUAAUGAAGUUAUUUAAAACUUUAACACCAAAUUUAUCCUAAAGCUAAUUCAAAUGUCAUUUUAACACUAGUACAUAAACUUUCAAACAAAUACAUGAGUUGAUUAUCUAAAAUCUGUAACGACACUAAUGAAAAUCUCUGACAUGCAUCUUUACUUAAAUAUAAAAGAAGAAGAAGAAUAAAAUGGGCAAUCUGUUAGCUAGUAUAGCCAAUUCAUUGUAAAAUUUAAAGCUAUAAUAAUUUAAUAUAUAUAAGUAUAUGUACCAAUUUUAACUUUUUAGAAAGAAAUAAGAUUCAACAACCUAAAUAAUAGAAUGAACCAUGGAAAACUUUUAACAAUGAUAUUUCAAUAUCCAAAAUAGACCAGAUUCUAAUGUAUCAAACAAAUCAAAAACAAUGUUAACGUGAAAGUCACAAACACACUUCAUACAUAAUAAUAAGAAAAAAAAACCUUACAAGAGUUCCUUCUCUUAAAAUGUUUCAUACAGUGCAGAAUUCAUUCAUCUAUAAAUAACUUUUCAAAUGCAAAACUAGAACCUUAAAAUAAGUAAAAGAUGAAUAGAUAAUAUAGAAGAGAACCUGUAGAGCAAAGCUUCUUCAAUAUAUAAGAGAGGAGCCUCAGAAUAAUUUUACAAUGACGAAAAUCCAAACGACAAAUAGUAGCUAGAGGAGAUAGUAACCUCAAACAAGACUAAAACAUUAGAGCAAAACCGGAACCCGAACGAAAAUCUGGGCGUGGACUAAAAUUUAAAACAUCAUUUAUACUCCAUGCUUUCUUCUUUCAAUUUCUUCUAAUGAAAGGGUGCAAUUCAUUUUUUAUAUUAAAGAAAAAUCUGGUGUUAUCUCUUAAGCUUUUCUCUUAAAAAAAUUCUGUUUU